AUAUAAUUAAGCGGAGGAAAAGAAACUAACUAGGAUUCCCUCAGUAACGGCGAGUGAAGCGGGAAGAGCUCAAACCGAAAAUCACUGUCUCGGCAGCGAAUUGUGGUCUAUUGAAGCGUGUCUCAGUGUGCGACCCCGGCCCAAGUCAAUUGGAACAUUGUGUCAGAGAGGGUGAGAACCCCGUCCCUGGCUGGGUGAUCGUCACGUUCGAGCCGCUCUCAAAGAGUCGGGUUGCUUGGGAGUGCAGCCCUAAGUGGGUGGUAAAUUUCAUCUAAAGCUAAAUACAUGUGGGAGACCGAUAGCGCACAAGUA
rnacentral:rRNA from 1 species